rnacentral:rRNA from 1 species
UACGAAGGGGGCUAGCGUUGCUCGGAAUCACUGGGCGUAAAGGGUGCGUAGGCGGGUCUUUAAGUCAGGGGUGAAAUCCCGGAGCUCAACUUCGGAACUGCCUUUGAUACAGCACGUCUUGAGUCCGGAAGAGGUGGGUGGAAUUCCUAGUGUAGAGGUGAAAUUCGUAGAUAUUAGGAAGAACACCGGUGGCGAAGGCGGCCCACUGGUCCGGUACUGACGCUGAGGUGCGAAAGCGUGGGGAGCAAACAGG